AUGUUAAAAGAGUCUGAGUGGGGACACUCUAUUUGGAAAGGGAUUUUGUACAGUUUUUCUGCAAGUUACUACCUCAUUAGUGGACUGGCCUGCAUAGUAUUCAUAAAAAUUAAUCAUCCAAUUCCCUGUAUGUGUCCUUGGUCACAUUUCUUGUUUGUUCAAUUUUUGGAAACCCACAUCUUAUUUGAAUUGAAACUGCUGAGUGCUUUGACUGAUCCUGACCGAGUCCACACACCAUCACUUACAGAAUACUGGAAGCCACUUGCAGAAGAUGUAAACCCUUUACCUUUUCUUUCAUAG
rnacentral:rRNA from 1 species